AUUUGCCCCUCGCCGGUCUGAUCCGGUUUGCCAAUAAUUCAGUGUUUCUUCCGGAAUCCUGACCUAAUUAUUUGAUCUGGUUCUCUACCUUUUUCUGUGAUUUUCACAUUUUCCCUAGCUUCGCUAUUUUUUCUUGGACUGCGGUGUCACAAUGCCCUGUACCAAAACAGGAUUAUAACUGACCUCGCAGUUACUUCUCGGUGCGG
rnacentral:misc_RNA from 1 species